AUACUUACCUGGCAGGGAGAUACCGUGAUCACGAAGGUGGUUUUCCCAGGGCGAGGCUUACCCAUUGCACUCUGGGUGUGCUGACCCCUGUGGUUCCCCAAAUGUGGGAAACCCCACUGCAUAAUUUGUGGUAGUGGGCGACUGCGUUAGCGAUUUCCCCUG